GACGGAGGAUGCAAGCGUUAUCCGGAAUUAUUGGGCGUAAAGCGUCCGUAGGUGGCGACUUAAGUCUGUUGUUAAAGCGUGCAGCUUAACUGCAUAAGGGCAAUGGAAACUGAGGCGCUAGAGUGCGGUAGGGGUAGAGGGAAGUCCCAGUGUAGCGGUGAAAUGCGUAGAUAUUGGGAAGAACACCAGUGGCGAAGGCGCUCUACUGGGCCGUAACUGACACUGAUGGACGAAAGCUAGGGGAGCGAAUGGG
rnacentral:rRNA from 1 species